UGCAAUGGUAUAAGCAAGCUUAACUGCGAGACAGACAAGUCGAGCAGGUACGAAAGUAGGUCAUAGUGAUCCGGUGGUUCUGAAUGGAAGGGCCAUCGCUCAACGGAUAAAAGGUACUCCGGGGAUAACAGGCUGAUACCGCCCAAGAGUUCAUAUCGACGGCGGUGUUUGGCACCUCGAUGUCGGCUCAUCACAUCCUGGGGCUGAAGUAGGUCCCAAGGGUAUGGCUGUUCGCCAUUUAAAGUGGUACGCGAGCUGGGUUUAGAACGUCGUGAGACAGUUCGGUCCCUAUCUGCCGUGGGCGUAGGAGAAUUGGUUGGGGCUGCUCCUAGUACGAGAGGACCGGAGUGGACGCACCACUGGUGUUCCGGUUGUGUCGCCAGACGCAUUGCCGGGUAGCUAAGUGCGGAAGAGAUAAGUGCUGAAAGCAUCUAAGCACGAAACUUGCCAAGAGAUGAGUUCUCCCAAUCUAAGAGAUUGUAAGGGUUGUUGUAGACUACGACGUAGAUAGGUCUGGUGUGUAAGUGUAGUGAUAUAUUGAGCUAACAGAUACUAAUUGCCCGAGAGGCUUAACUAUACAACGCUCAAG
rnacentral:rRNA from 1 species